rnacentral:lncRNA from 1 species
AUGCCUUCCGACCCCCCAGCCCUCGGCGGGGACAAGCGGCCCGCAGGCCCCGCCCGCCUUCUUCCCCCCGCCACCCGGCAGCCCCUCCCCGACGCUGCUCCGGGACCCUUGCCGCUGACCCCAGAGACCCCGUCCCGGACCCCCUCCGCUCGCCCUAGGGUGAGGAGGCCCGGCGGGCACGGCGACAGCAGCCCGAGGGAGGCCGGGCCCGGCGGGGAAGGAGGAGGAGGAGGGCGCGGCGCAGCCCGAGUUUCCCACCUUUUCUCCUGGCCCAGACGCAGCUGGGGUGGACGGGACCUCUCGCGCUCUGCCUUCUCCUCCUGCUUCAUGGAGCCAUGCGCCUGGAUGGCGUUGCACUAAGUCUUGUUUCUGCUCUGCUCCCACACCGUCACCAUUCCAAACACAAACUAUAGACGCUGCAGCAAAGGCAUGCCCUCUUUUAAAGCAAUGCCGGUCUUGUUUAGAACACAGACUCAAGCCCACAGAUAGACUGUUUUGUGUUUUGCUAUUCUGUUUAUGCACAAAGGAAUCCUUAACAUGUUUGUCCUCAAGGAGCAAAUAAAAGUAUCUAGUAAAAAAUGCAAAUCAUAUCUGACGGUGAAGCUUUCCAGCAAAAACCUUCUGCUCUAGAAUGCAUAAUGUACUCAAGCAUAAUAAGAUCUACUACUACAGACUUUUAGCAUAAUUACCUGUAGACAACUAAAACCGAGGAAACUGAGUAUCUGAUUGGUGUCUCUUGGACCUAAGCUCCCCAAGAGAACCUGGUGAAGGACAACAGUGAAAGGAACAGACAGUGAUGCUUUGUAGAACAGGAGGUAACUUUUUUUAAAAAAACAAUCUCCAUAGCAGUCUUCACAAUUCCUGUCACAGUCUUGACAUACUUAUCUGCUGUUGAGGCCACAUUUGCCUGUUUCUAACCUCUGUCUGCCUGAAAAACUGCAAAUUAAGUGAUCAUAUGGCCUACGGCCAGAAAUACAAGAGGCAGCAAGCCAGAGGUCAAUUUUUGUUGUUGUUUCUAAAUAAGAAGACGAAAUCCUGACUUAAAAUAAUCAGAAUAAAUUUCACAUAGUGAAGUUUUUUCCAGCUGAAAGUCUUAAAAUAUGGCAUCUGGAAAGGGCCUUAGUCUAUUGCUCCCAGGACGGUACUAUAUCGUCAUU